UACGUAGGCAGCGAGCGUUGUUCGGAAUUACUGGGCGUAAAGAGUGUGUAGGCGGUGCUCUAAGUUCGGUGUGAAAUCUCCUGGCUUAACUGGGAGGGUGCGCCGGAAACUGGGGUGCUCGAGCGUGGGAGAGGAAAGCGGAAUUCCUGGUGUAGCGGUGAAAUGCGUAGAUAUCAGGAGGAACACCUGUGGCGUAGACAGCUUUCUGGACCAUUGCUGACGCUGAGACACGAAAGCGUGGGUAGCAAACAGG
rnacentral:rRNA from 1 species